rnacentral:rRNA from 1 species
CCUACGGGAGGCAGCAGUGAGGAAUAUUGGUCAAUGGACGAGAGUCUGAACCAGCCAAGUAGCGUGAAGGAUGACUGCCCUAUGGGUUGUAAACUUCUUUUAUAUGGGAAUAAAAUGUUCCACGUGUGGGCUUUUGUAUGUACCAUAUGAAUAAGGAUCGGCUAACUCCGUGCCAGCAGCCGCGGUAAUACGGAGGAUCCGAGCGUUAUCCGGAUUUAUUGGGGUUAAAGGGAGCGUAGGUGGAUUGUUAAGUCAGUUGUGAAAGUUUCGGGCUCAACCGUAAAAUUGCAGUUGAAACUGGCAGUCUUGAGUACAGGAGAGGUAGGCGGAAUUCGUGGUGUAGCGGUGAAAUGCUUAGAUAUCACGAAGAACUCCGAUUGCGAAGGCAGCUCACUGGACUGAAACUGACACUGAGGCUCGAAAGUGUGGGUAUCAAACAGGAUUAGAUACCCUUGUAGUC